AAACUUAAAUGAAUUGACGGGACCCGCACAAGCAGCGGAGCGUGUGGUUUAAUUCGUUGCUACACGAAGAACCUUACCUGGGUUUGACAUAUAGGUUGUAGGGAACUGAAAAGGGACCGACCCUUCGGGGAGCCUAUACAGGUGUUGCAUGGCUGUCGUCAGCUCGUGUCGUGAGAUGUUCGGUUAAGUCCGCUAACGAGCGCAACCCUCGUCGUAUGUUAUAUGUGUCAUACGAGACUGCCAGUAAAAGCCGGAGGAAGGUGAGGAUGAUGUCAAGUCAGCAUGACCUUUAUAUCCAGGGCCACACACACGCUACAAUGGUCUGUACAAUGGGUAGCCAAGCCGCGAGGCGGAGCCAAUCCUGAAAGCAGGCCUCAGUUCAGAUUGCAGUCCGCAACUCGACUGCAUGAAGCCGGAGUUGCUAGUAACCGCAGGUCAGCAAUACUGCGGUGAAUACGUUCCCGGGUCUU
rnacentral:rRNA from 1 species